rnacentral:rRNA from 1 species
UACGUAGGGUGCGAGCGUUAAUCGGAAUUACUGGGCGUAAAGCGUGCGCAGGCGGUGAUGUAAGACAGGUGUGAAAUCCCGGGGCUCAACCUCGGAACUGCAUUUGUGACUGCAUCGCUGGAGUGCGGCAGAGGGGGAUGGAAUUCCGCGUGUAGCAGUGAAAUGCGUAGAUAUGCGGAGGAACACCGAUGGCGAAGGCAAUCCCCUGGGCCUGUACUGACGCUCAUGCACGAAAGCGUGGGGAGCAAACAGG